AUCUGUCACUCAGGCUCUCCGUCACGCGCUGCUCGCUGGCUCGCAGCCCCCAAGCUGCUUUGACCCGCGCAGGCCUAGGCGGUUGCGAACACCCGCCUCCUAGUCCCCACAAACGAACUUCCGGUCUUUUUCUACGUUUAUUGGUCAGUUUCUCAGACUAUCGCGUCGCGACCUUAAAGUGGAUUAGUUGGCCUUGUGGUCAGUCACAGUGACCCCUAACAAUGGGAAGUUCCAUUGGCGCCAUAAAGUGUCGGUCACUUUGUCACAGAACGUCGCGUGGUACAAUAGGCCAGUGAAGAUUCUAUUCAUCCCGCCCCAAUCUGAGGUGACGGGAAAGGGCUGGGAAAUUUCCAUUUCGGAUUAAAAUGAGGGCCGAAUUGACGGUGGCAAAACUUAAUAAAAAGCGUAGUAGACCUAACUCUGCACUUGCAGAGCUCGUACGUCAAGGAUGCAAGAGACGCUCCCACUUGUCCCUUUCGGCCGACCGCCGCAACUACGGCCGGAAAGCCGCUGCACUGGGAUUGGAGGAAAGAGGCCGUCAGUCUCAAUGAGGCCCCACCUUCCUGCCAUUGCCUGGUUGGAGGGCCGCGACGUCAGUCACUGGGACAGUAGCCACCUCUGAGACAGGCAUCUUUCGCCGGGUCCACAUUCUGCCACGCCGAAUUCUAGCCAGAUUUCACUGAUACAAAACAAAGCUAACCAAAGGAGAUUUUCCCUUCUAAGGAUCUCUCCCCACCCAUCCAUCUCUGUUUUCUCCUCUGUCUCUUUUAUCAAUAGAGGUUUGGCUGGGCGUGGUGGUGUAGAUUUGUGAUCCUAGCACUAGAUGAAUGAGCCAGUCUCAAAAAUAAAUAAAGGAAUAAAUACUACUUCAGGUUUAAAAGUGUUGACCUUCCAACUAAUCUCAUGAUCGGAAACCACAAGAAAAGAAUUUGGUGGCAAAAGUAUGGCAAUUUUUUUUUUUAAGAUAGGGACUUGCUUUGUAGUCUGGGCUAGCCUUGAACUCAGAACAUUCCUCUGCCUCAGUCUCCCGAGUGCUGAGAUUACAGGCAAAUAUUCUUUGAUCCAGAGAAUGUCCCUAUAACAGAGGUUGACUGAAAGCAAAAGGUAUCAUUUUUCUCUUUGCCAAGCUGUAACAAAGACCUAUCUUAAUUAUGCAGUAUUUAGUAUUUCAUUACUUCAAACGUUUCUGAAUUCUGUAAAGAAUAUAAUUUUUCAAAUUACUUUAAGAGUCUGAGGUUUAGCUCAGAGGCACAAGCACCUGCCUGGCAAGCGCGAAGUCAUGAGUUCCAUCCCCAGUACCAAAACUUUAAAUAAAAGUUGAUUCUGCCACACAAUUUUUUUUUUUUUGGUGGUACCGGGGAUCAAACUCAUGGUUGCGCACUUGCAAGGCAGGUGCUUAUGCCGCUGAGCUAAACCCCUAGCCCCACAUGAUUAUUUUUUAACAUAGUUAACAUUUCUUUGGCUUUCUUUGGUGAAAGAAAGAUACUAUUUUUUGUGGACAGAAUACAUUAUAUAAGUGUUCUUUCUAGAUAAAAAAAAUCUAUUGUAUAAAAGUAUAGAGAACAAUUUUGAGGUUAAUUCCAUAUACACUGUAUUUAGCAUUUGUAGAACUUAAUUAGCUUAUAUCUCGGUGCUAUUUAAGUUUUCAAGGUGUGUAUGACUAGGUCACAACCCAAACUAAGCAACAAAAAGAAGCCUGGUACUGCCCAACCCACUUCAAAGCUGGAUUAUCCAGAAUUGGUUGGACACAUCCUGAGGCAAAAACAGGUAUUGACUGGUGCAGCAUUACAAAGGAACUACUUGUCAUUCCUACCACUUAUACAGAAAUAAUUUCUGAUGCAACUCCCUGAGCACACUUAUUAAGCUCUUUAAAGAAAUGUAAUGAAUCUCAAAGCCAGAAGAAAAGGAAAUCUGGACUGAACUGAAAUGGACUGGCAGUUCCCAGUGUAUUUGAAAGAGAAAGUACACUGUCUACUCAUAGUCUCUACCUGAAGAUAGAUUGAAUAUAGACCAACCCUGAAUCUCAUCAGAAAAAUAUGCUUGAGUAAUAAUCUUUAUUUUACUUAGUCCUUUACCUGAAACAUGUUAGUAGUUUGUCAAUAUGGGAGUUAGGAACUCCCAGUCGCUUAGGUUUUGUGACUAUAACAUCACAUCUAUAUUAAGUCUAUAUUCCUAUAGUUUCACAAAUAUAAAACUAAUUGAGAAAUCAUAUCCAAUAGCAUAUUUCAUGAAUGUUUAAAAUCACCAUGUAGAGCUUAGCAAAAUGGGCACACAACUGUAAUCCCAGCACUCUAAAGGCUGAGACAGAAAGAACGCAAGUAUAAAUCCAGCCUGGUAUACACAAGGCCAGUUUGGACUACCUGGUGAAACCUUGUUUCGAAACAGCAAAACAAAACAAAAGAUAAAGAAAAAAAAAUAAAAAGGGCACAAGCUGCAUAUGUACCAGGAAGAUAAAAGCCAGCAUCUCCCGAAAAUCUGCCAUGCCAAAUCUUGGGGGACCAACCGAGAAAUCAACAAUCCAGCGUUCCUGGUUUUCUUUCUCCUUGAAAUAAAAUAUAUAUAUAUUAGAAGCUGGGUACCAUGGCAUGCAUCUAUAAUAAGAAGAUACAGUAUGGUAGCCACUGUUGAUUUCCUAUUACCUUGUUUUGAAGCCCUGUAUUGCUUUCAUUGUUUGCUUUGAUUGGUUUUAUUCUGUUCUGUUUUGUUUGACUUUAUCAUGUCUGAUGUUAUGGACACCCAUAUUGAAAAUAACAAAAGGCAUUAUGGUAGCCAUCAUUGAUUUUCUAUUGUCUUGUUUUGAAGUCCUAUAUUACUGUUUUGUUUUGAUUGGCUUAAUCUAUUUUAUUUUGUUUGGUUUUAUUCUCUUUAAAAUAAAAUUUUAAAAAUGUUUUUAAAUUAGAAUAAAA